ACUGUUUUACCAAAAACAUAGCCCUUUCUAUUUAUAAGAGGUGUCACCUGCCCAGUGGUUUACAACUAAAGAAAUAAAAUUACUUCAAGUAAACUUAAAGGACGCGGUAUCCUAACCGUGAUAACGUAGCAUAAUCAUUCGCCACCUAAUUAGUGGAUAGUAUGAAUGGUAAAACGAGUAUAACACUCUCUCAGAAGGAAGUUUUAUGAAAUUGGAGUGGUAGUCAAGAUACUACCUAAAACUGUAAGACGAAAAGACCCUAUAGAGCUUAACUAUACCUUUCUCACAAAAUUAAGUUCACUUAAGUUCAAGAAAGAUUGGUAGUUUAGUUGGGGCGACUGCUUUCUAGUAAAAACGAAAGCAAGCAAUAUUAAUUAUCUAAUUUACUGUCUAAUCUAUGUGUUUAACAGUUAUAAAAAUAGGCAAUAGUGACCCGUUAGUAACAAAAAACACCACUAACGAACAAUAAAUAAAAGCUACCUUAGGGAUAACAGGAUAAUCUUGUUCUAGAGACCCUAUCGAAAACAAGGUUUGUCACCUCUAUGUUGAAUUAAGAUAUCCUAGAAGUGUAGAAGCUUCUGAGGGUAGGUCUGUUCGACCUAUAAAAUCUUACAUGAUUUGAGUUCAUUCCG
rnacentral:rRNA from 1 species